ensembl:snoRNA LOC120093471 small nucleolar RNA SNORA17
UGUGCCUCUGAAAGUAUUGUAAUUGUGGUUGUAAGUCGUAGGUAGCAGAGAGGAGAGAGACUAUGAAUAUGUUUGGACCUAUGACCAUCGGAAUGAUUAGUAGCCUAACAUU